rnacentral:tRNA from 1 species
AUUUAAGUAUUUUAAUAAAAAUUACAAUUUGUGGUAUUGUAGAUGCUUGUGAGCCUUAAAUC